AGAAGAACAAUUACAAUCAUAUAAGUGCCACCAUACAGAUGUAUGCCUCAAGAUCUGCAAGAUUUGUUUUGCUUAAUUGAGUGCCAUGACCUAAAAUUCCUUCCCAGCUCUUCCAGUGCCUCAAAAAAAUCUAUUACUCAGCAACUCCAAUCCUCAUCCUCUGAUCCUCCGUCAACAUUCAGUUUAAGCCAUCCGCAAGCCCACAGCAUAUGAAAUGGGACUGGAGCCAUCUACUCACACCACCCGAUGCAGAUGAACAUCCACUUGCGCAGUUUGUCCGUGGAGUACGUCAGCACAAUGGCGGUGUGCAGGUAGCAGCCCUCUCCGAACAUCCAGAAGAAGUUAGUCACGUGGAAAUAAUUGUACGCUGCAGUGACCAGCCGACACCAGAUCUUGGGGAAAGAGGGAAAACCACGCGACACACAGCAAACAAUACAAUGCAUUACUUGAGAAUAUGCAGCGGUGCCCUAAGACGGACAAAGCCCACCAGGUCCGAUCGAGCGGCCAUUUCACAUGGAGAUUCAAUGAAGGCAUAAUAGACCGUGUAUUUGAAGGACACUGCUUGCAAUUGAAACAUGGAAAUAAAAUAUUACCAUGGCAUUCAGGGCAGGUAGUGGUGUGGAUUGUAACUGAGUAGUGCCUCUAUGGAAAGAAAAGGAAGUACUGUAGUGUAAAGUAUGUACUGUAUUGCUUUUUAAUAAUACAGUUGAAUCACCUAAUCUGGUUUCUUGGUUUAAAAAAGGUUGAUGAUUUCAAGGUGAAACAAACCUGAAUUCAUUUUUAAACGUGUAGAAUAUAGUUGUUUAUCUUUACAUUGUGCCCUUUCGAGACAUGUAUAGUGAUCAAAUACACAAACAUCCUCUGGCUGAGAUAUGAUGAUGCUUUAACUACACCAUAAUGUGUUCAUAUUAAAAGAUCAUUUAGAAUUAUAAGCGCUACAUUUUUACACCUUUAUCCAGGUCCCAGAAAUAAGCUCACAUGGGCAUAUGCCUAACAUACUGUAGGAAGAUGCUAAAAACAGUACUUGCUUUUUUACAUUAUAAAACAGCAAGCUACUACUUCUCUUGCAGUCAGAUUGAAUUACACUGACUUCAUGUUGAUUCUCAUGCAAUUCAGCUUAUCGGAAUUGAGAAGAUCAAGCCAUUCAUGUUUUUAUGUUCUCUGAUAUUUUAUUGAUGGAUAGUUUCAGAGCAGUAAGUAAUAGCUUUUUCCUCAGGCAUUCCAUUUUGUAAAUUGAAGAGGCUGGCUUUGACACAGCGAGCAAAGUGCUUCAUAGGCCAGAAUACCGUUGCAUACUAGAUGAGUUCUGUGUAUUUUGAAAUGGUGAUACGUUGCAAUGUGGGAGGCUGGCCCACUAUAAGCCCAGAGGACAAAGUUGUAAAGCGCUUUUAUUGGGCUCUGAGUCUGGACCAUCUGAAUGCGUUUCACCACGUGGCACAAGAAUUAGGGCAAGCCCAGGGACCACACAAGCCAGGGGCUCUGCUCAUCCUAUUUAUUUAUUUAUCACCAGGCUUCACCACACUCAAAUCUGUCGCCAAAACAUAACUCACUUUUAUCACUGUAACAUCCUGCUGUGCAGCCCUGGCGUAGCCUGAGAUAAGAGAAGUAUAGCAGCACAGCUCGGUUUAACACAGGGACUGAGGAGUGAAAAUUAAUGUGGCCAUAAAUGUCAUCCCCAAUCUUCGUUACACCAAUCUGAACCGGCUUCGUCCCCUGCCAACACUGCUUGUGAUCCUCCCACCUCCGUUUAUACUGUUGGACUCCAAAAAUAAACCUUUUUCACUCAUAUUGUUUUUGGGGGGGUGGGGGUUUGAAGCUAAAGUCGAAUGUGGUCAAGGUUUUUGAGGACAAUUCGGCAGUUUGAAGACAUAACUGGAGAUGGGAGGAUGUGAUAGGGCUGUUUGGUUAAGGUUGGAUGGAGCACAAGCUCUCUCGCCAGGGAAAUAAGUGCCGCUCAAUGGAAAAUGAGAUAACGUGAUUGUUGUCAUUCAUCUCACUGAGGUAGGAAAAGCUGUGUACUUUGUGCGUGAUUGUAAAUCAGUGCAGACAGAAGAGUCAAAUGAGCUGCUUAAUGGUUCAGGAGGGGAGCUUUGUGUGCUGAACAGGGACAGAUUCUCUUAAAGGUUCACAAACUACAUCUGGUCCCUGUCCUACUCAUGUGAAAAAUAGGCUUAAACCAACAGCCAUUAUGAGAUGAAAGUUAAGUGGUGAAAUGCUCAACAGCAGAGUAAGAUUCACCUUUUGAAUUAUAGCUCCUAAAUGGAUGUAUUUUGUCCAGCAAUACUUGAAUAUGCAGUGUUUCAUAAUUAUGUGAACAUAACAGUUUUAUCUUUUAUCAGUAACAAAAAACUCCAGCUCCACACUUGCCUACUGAACUGCGUCAUAUGUAAAGAAAAUGUCCAGCAUUUAAAGGCCAGCAAGCUAUUAAAGCUAUGGAAACUACAGUACCAAUUCAACCAACCAACAUUUUUGUACUUAUUUUUCUUCUGAUAAUGGCUCCAUAAUUAACACUUCAAUCCUGAUCAGGCUUUUUGUAUUCAUUUUAGGUAACCAGCCAACUACCCACUAGGUAAAACAGUGAGCUGGUUUGUUAAUGCAGCUGUGCUUAUAUGAAAAUAUACUGUAUGUGUUUGAGGUAGUGCUAAUAUGUGUACAUCUAGCUACUGCUUUAGCUUUGCCAAAUUAAUGUCUGUUUCCUUCAUUUCCAAUAAAACAACGGUAGCUUAUUCUGACCCAUUUUUACCCCCAAUUAAAAAAAAAAAAUCCCCUGAAUUUAUAAUGCACAGUUUCAUUUGCAGGCACCAGUAUUCUGCCAGCCACUGCUGCUUUUUACACUGCAGUCCACCAGCUGAUCAGCAGUGUCAGUCUGUUUUAUGGAACAAUUCAUAUGCGUAGCCAGCUUUUGUAUUUUGGUAUCACUGUAAUUUUCAAUAAAAAAUAUCACAUUUUUUUUAGAACAAAGAAAACAUUUUUUUUUGUCUU